CAUCCUCCAAGGCUAAAUACUCCUGACUGACCGAUAGUGAACCAGUACCGUGAGGGAAAGGCGAAAAGAACCCCGGCGAGGGGAGUGAAAAAGAACCUGAAACCGUGUACGUACAAGCAGUGGGAGCACCCUUUGGGUGUGACUGCGUACCUUUUGUAUAAUGGGUCAGCGACUUAUAUUCUGUAGCAAGGUUAACCGAAUAGGGGAGCCGGAGGGAAACCGAGUCUUAACUGGGCGUUAAGUUGCAGGGUAUAGACCCGAAACCCGGUGAUCUAGCCAUGGGCAGGUUGAAGGUUGGGUAACACUAACUGGAGGACCGAACCGACUAAUGUUGAAAAAUUAGCGGAUGACCUGUGGCU
rnacentral:rRNA from 2 species